rnacentral:rRNA from 1 species
UACGAAGGGAGCUAGCGCUGUUCGGAAUCACUGGGCGUAAAGCGCACGUAGGCGGAUUUGUCAGUCAGGGGUGAAAUCCCGGGCUCAACCUCGGAACUGCCUUCGAUACUGCGGGUCUCGAGUCCGGGAGAGGUGAGUGGAAUUCCGUAGUGUAGAGGUGAAAUUCGUAGAUAUUAGGAAGAACACCAGUGGCGAAGGCGGCUCACUGGCCCGGUACUGACGCUGAGGCGCGAAAGCGUGGGAGCAAACAGG